AUAGAAACACCAAGUAUUAUAUAAGAUAUUAUUUAUUUAUAAUAUAAAAUUCAAAAAUUAUGAAUUGAAAUUAAUUUCCGAUUCUAUUUUUCCUGUAUGUUAUCUGCCCUUAUAAAGUACCAAUUUAAUGUAAGGAAGACUCAUAAAACCAACAUUUCUUUAUCAGCUGAUCAUUGCAGAUAUAUAAUUGCAAGUAUUUAAGAAAAACCAAUCAUUUAUAUUUGACAAGUACGCUAUUUAAUAUUAUACUAAACACUAAAUUAAAUCAACAAUAUGGAUGUCAAUGGUGAAAUCCAACAUUUUGAUAAGUUUGAAAUGAAAUCUAAAAUUAAAUUUUUUAAUGAUUACAAUCAAAAAGAUUCAAUUAUUAUAAAACAAAAACCAAAACAUUGCCAGCAAGGAAAAGUUAAAGAAAAAGUUGCUAAUAUAGAAAAUUUAGAAAAACAAUUUCACGCUAACUAUACAGAAAAUCAAAACACUAAAAAAAAACAUGAAAUAAAUAUGUCGAAUAUCAUAAAUUAUCUAUUAGAUAUACAGACACAUUUAAGAUAUGAUUUAAAUUAUAUCAAUUGGCCUUCAAUGAUUAUAGGAAAAACGACCCAAACAAGUAUUGCAUAUACAAAUGUGAUCAUUAAGUUCGAUGAAUCGGAUUGAAACUAAUUAUUAUCCUUUACUCUUAGUUAUACAGUUGUAAUACUCAUAAAUAUUUUUAAGACUACAUUAUUGUAAGUUUAACAAACAAAUUCAUUUUCUAGCUUAAAUAAUACUUUUGUUAAAGUAAUAAAUAAACUAAAGUAUACCUAUUCGAUUUAUAUAUUUAUUAUUUAUA